rnacentral:lncRNA from 1 species
AUACGGUGUCCUUUCUAGCAGAUAGCAAACCAAUAGAACAAUAAUUUUGGAAAGAAUGAUUGGAGCAGUUAGUCAAAGACAUAUUUUGCCUCCUAUUGACAUGGUGAUUCAGCUAACUCCAAAAAGCAUGCAGCGUCUAUUCCUCUCUGAUGGUCUACAACUAUUUGAUUGGAGUACAUCAGUUUCUUUAGUUGUUCUAUAUCAGCCAUCCCGAAUAGCACUAUCUUGUUUAGUUUACCCAAAAACAAAAAGAAAUCAAGUUUCCCCGUCACAUCAAAUAUUGUAGUACAUACAUGAAGCAUUAAAUAUAGAUAAAAAUAAAAAUUAAUUGUACAGUUUGCUUGUAAAUCACGGGACAAAAUCUUUUAAACCUAGUUACUCCAUGAAUAGACAAUGUUUGUCAAAUAAAAACAAAA